AGAAAACUGGAGUGGGUUGCCUAAGAACACACAGAACUCUGCAACACAAUUCUCCAGCAGUUUGAAGUAUGUGUACUUUCCAGCCCUUUUCUCUGCCUACUACACCUUGUAAACAUGUUCUGAACAGAUGGGAGAGCGAUCCACUGCAGUUAACCCCAGACACACACAGAGAACCCAAGGUCUCUGUCCUCACAAGACCCUGCAGCAAAUGACUCUGCU
ensembl:lncRNA